GAUGAACGCUGGCGGCGUGCCUAAUACAUGCAAGUCGAACGAAACUUCUUUAUCACCGAGUGCUUGCACUCACCGAUAAAGAGUUGAGUGGCGAACGGGUGAGUAACACGUGGGCAACCUGCCCAAAAGAGGGGGAUAACACUUGGAAACAGGUGCUAAUACCGCAUAACCAUAGUUACCGCAUGGUAACUAUGUAAAAGGUGGCUAUACUACCGCUUUUGGAUGGGCCCGCGGCGCAUUAGCUAGUUGGUAGGGUAAAGGCUUACCAAGGCAAUGAUGCGUAGCCGAAUUGAGAGGUUGAUCGGCCACAUUGGGACUGAGACACGGCCCAAACUCCUACGGGAGGCAGCAGUAGGGAAUCUGCCACAAUGGGCGAAAGCCUGAUGGAGCAACGCCGCGUGGGUGAAGAAGGUCUGCGGAUCGUAAAACCCUGUUGUUAGAGAAGAAAGUGCGUGAGAGUAACUGUUCACGUUUCGACGGUAUCUAACCAGAAAGCCACGGCUAACUACGU
rnacentral:rRNA from 1 species